AUUGAACGCUGGCGGCAUGCUUUACACAUGCAAGUCGAACGGCAGCGGGGGCUUCGGUCCGCCGGCGAGUGGCGAACGGGUGAGUAAUGCAUCGGAACGUGCCCAGUCGUGGGGGAUAACACAUCGAAAGAUGUGCUAAUACCGCAUACGUCCUGAGGGAGAAAGCGGGGGAUCUUCGGACCUCGCGCGAUUGGAGCGGCCGAUGUCAGAUUAGCUAGUUGGUGAGGUAAAAGCUCACCAAGGCAACGAUGGAUAGGGGAACUGAGAGGUUUAUCCCCCACACUGGUACUGAGACACGGACCAGACUCCUACGGGAGGCAGCAGUGAGGAAUAUUGGUCAAUGGACGCAAGUCUGAACCAGCCACGUCGCGUGAAGGAAGACGGCCCUACGGGUUGUAAACUUCUUUUGUAAGGGAAUAAAGUGUAGUACGCGUACUAUUUUGCAUGUACCUUACGAAUAAGGAUCGGCUAACUCCGUGCCAGCAGCCGCGGUAAUUACGC
rnacentral:rRNA from 1 species